CCUACGGGAGGCAGCAGUGAGGAAUAUUGGUCAAUGGCCGAGAGGCUGAACCAGCCAAGUCGCGUGAGGGCAGACGGCCCUACGGGUUGUAAACCUCUUUUGGCGGGGAGCAAAGAGAGGCACGUGUGACUCAUAGAGAGUACCCGAAGAAAAAGCAUAGGCCCACUCCGGGCCAGCAGCCGCGCGAAUACGGAGGAUGCGAGGGUUAUCGGGAUUUUUUGGGUUUAAAGGGUGCGCAGGCGGCGGUGCAAGUCAGCGGUCAAAUUGCGGGGCUCAACCCCGUACUGCCGUUGACACUGCAUCCCUUGAGUGCGCGAGAAGUAUGCGGAAUGCGUGGUGUAGCGGUGAAAUGCAUAGAUAUCACGCAGAACUCCGAUUGCGAAGGCAGCAUACCGGCGCGCAACUGACGCUCAUGCACGAAAGCGUGGGUAUCGAACAGGAUUAGAUACCCUUGUAGUC
rnacentral:rRNA from 1 species